rnacentral:rRNA from 1 species
GAUGAACGCUGGCGGCGUGCCUAAUACAUGCAAGUCGAGCGAAUGGAUUAAGAGCUUGCUCUUAUGAAGCUAGCGGCGGACGGGUGAGUAACACGUGGGUAACCUGCCCAUAAGACUGGGAUAACUCCGGGAAACCGGGGCUGAUACCGGAUAACAUUUUGAACCGCAUGGUUCGAAAUUGAAAGACGGCUUCGGCGGUCACUUAUGGAUGGACCCGCGUCGCAUUAGCCAGUUGGUGAGGGAACGGCUCACCAAGGCAACGAUGCGUAGCCGACCUGAGAGGGUGAUCGGCCACACUGGGACUGAGACACGGCCCAGACUCCUACGGGAGGCAGCAGUAGGGAAUCUUCCGCAAUGGACGAAAGUCUGACGGAGCAACGCCGCGUGAGUGAUGAAGGCUUUCGGGUCGUAAAACUCUGUUGUUAGGGAAGAACAAGUGCUAGUUGAAUAAGCUGGCACCUUGACGGUACCUAACCAGAAAGCCACGGCUAACUACGUGCCAGCAGCCGCGGUAA